rnacentral:rRNA from 1 species
AGAGUUUGAUCAUGGCUCAGAACGAACGCUGGCGGCGUGCUUAACACAUGCAAGUCGAGUGCGCGGUUGUAGCAAUACAACUGGCGCACGGCGCACGGGUGCGUAACACGUGGGCAAUCUGCCCUCCGAUGGGGAAUAACUCCGGGAAACCGAAGCUAAUUCCGCAUAACAUUCCCUGGACUCCGGUUCGGGGAUUCAAAGCAGUAAUGCGUCGGAGGAGGAGCCCGCGCCCGAUUAGCUAGUUGGUGAGGUAACGGCUCACCAAGGCUAUGAUCGGUAGCUGGUCUGAGAGGAUGGCCAGCCACACUGGAACUGAGACACGGUCCAGACUCCUACGGGAGGCAGCAGUGGGGAAUCUUGCGCAAUGGGCGAAAGCCUGACGCAGCGACGCCGCGUGGGGGAUGAAGCUUUUCGGAGUGUAAACCCCUUUCGACCCGGACGAAACGCCCGCAAGGGCUUGACGGUACGGGUAUAAGAAGCCCCGACUAACUACGUGCCAGCAGCCGCGGUAAGACGUAGGGGGCCAGCGUUGCUCGGAAUUACUGGGCGUAAAGGGUUCGUAGGCGGUGUGGUAAGUCGGAAGUGAAAUCUCUGGGCUUAACUCAGAGGCUGCUUUCGAAACUGCCGCGCUAGAGUGCGGGAGAGGCGAGUGGAAUUACAGGUGUAGCGGAAAUGCGUAGAUAUCUGUAGGAACACCCGUGGCGAAGGCGGCUCGCUGGACCGCAACUGACGCUGAGGAACGAAAGCUAGGGGAGCAAACAGGAUUAGAUACCCUAGUAGUCC